AGCCGCACCCCGGGGCGUCCUCCCUCGGGAAGGCGCAACCACGGAGCUCCGGCGGGCCCCCGGACACUACCAUCCGGCCGCACUCCAACCCUCGAGCUCGGCGCGCCCCUGACACCCCCAAUCCCGCCGCACCGCAAGGGCGCCCCCUCUCGGGAAAGCGCAGGCUCCCGCCCGGGCGCACCGCCACUCCGCCCUCACCUGAGCCGAAGGUUGGUCAUGAACUCGGGCAUGGAGACGGUGUCCAUCAGUACGAAGUCCGCCUUGCCGAACUCCAAGCUCUCCUGCUCGGCCAUGGCGCCGGCGUGCGGGCUCAGACUCACCCAGACUUCAGUGGAUGCUCCUGGAUCUUGGAUGCACUGGGCUCUCUGGAGGAUUGGCUGCUGGAACGGGUUAGCCUGGAGGCAGUCAGACUGUCCUUCUAUAACCACAGAAGAGCUGUCACCAGCAGAGAGAUCCUUGGAGCAGUUAAGCAGAGAUCCUCUUGGAAGAGCUUUUGUAUAAAUGAAGUGUUCUGAAUGGCUCUGUUGUUGAAAUGAUUGCACUUGUCAAAAAUAAUCAGAUGGGUCAGAGGACUGAGUUGGAAGACAAGGUAUCUGAUAGAUACCUGUUGCAAUAGGAGUCUUGGUGCUACACACCUGGUCUCUGGAUCCUGUGUUUUUAGCCUCUGACUUAAUUUGUAAAAAAAUAAAUAAGAAAGGCAUUUUGUUAUGCUUGUUGUU